GGGUGAGUAACACGUAUGCAACCUGCCCCUGUCAGGGGGACAACCCGCCGAAAGGCGGGCUAAACCCGCGUACAUGCCACCGGGGCAUCCCGGAGGCAGGAAAGGCUUCGGCCGGACAGGGAUGGGCAUGCGGCGCAUUAGGCAGUAGGCGGGGUAACGGCCCACCUAACCGACGAUGCGUAGGGGUUCUGAGAGGAAGGUCCCCCACACUGGUACUGAGACACGGACCAGACUCCUACGGGAGGCAGCAGUGAGGAAUAUUGGUCAAUGGUCGGGAGACUGAACCAGCCAAGCCGCGUGAGGGAUGAAGGUACAGAGUAUCGUAAACCUCUUUUGUCAGGGAACAAAGGCGGGGACGUGUCCCCGGAUGAGUGUACCUGAAGAAAAAGCAUCGGCUAACUCCGUGCCAGCAGCCGCGGUAAUACGGAGGAUGCGAGCGUUAUCCGGAUUUAUUGGGUUUAAAGGGUGCGCAGGCGGUCUGUUAAGUCAGCGGUCAAAGCCCGGGGCUCAACCCCGGCCCGCCGUUGAAACUGGCAGUCUCGAGUUGGAGAGAAGUAUGCGGAAUGCGCGGUGUAGCGGUGAAAUGCAUAGAUAUCGCGCAGAACUCCGAUUGCGAAGGCAGCAUGCCGGCUCCACACUGACGCUGAGGCACGAAAGCGUGGGUAUCGAACAGGAUUAGAUACCCUGGUAGUCCACGCAGUAAACGAUGAAUGCUGGCUGUCCGGG
rnacentral:rRNA from 1 species